CGGAAUAUAGCGCAGCCAGGUAGCGCACCUGCCUUGGGAGCAGGGGGUCGCAAGUUCGAACCUUGCUAUUCCGACCA
rnacentral:tRNA from 1 species